CCGGCGGGGUUCCCCCCCCCCCCCCGGGAAUUUUUUUUCACAGUAUAAAAACUUUGUAUCUUGAUAUCCUACUUGAAUAACUGUGGGUAAUUCUAAAGCUAAUACAUGCACCAAAGCUCCGAAUUUUUGACAAGCGCAUCUAUUAGAUUAAAACCAAUCGGGUUUCCGCCCGUUUGUUGGUGACUCUGAAUAACUAUGGCUGAUCGCAUGGUCUAGAACCGGCGACGUGUCUAUCAAGUGUCUGCCUUAUCAACUGUCGAUGGUAGUUUAUGUGCCUACCAUGGUUGUAACGGGUAACGGAGAAUAAGGGUUCGACUCCGGAGAGGGAGCCUGAGAAACGGCUACCACAUCCAAGGAAGGCAGCAGGCGCGCAAAUUACCCACUCUCGGCAUGAGGAGGUAGUGACGAAAAAUAACGAGACCGUUCUCUAUGAGGCCGGUUAUCGGAAUGGGUACAAUUUAAACCCGUUAACGAGGAUCUAUGAGAGGGCAAGUCUGGUGCCAGCAGCCGCGGUAAUUCCAGCUCUCAAAGUGUAUAUCGUCAUUGCUGCGGUUAAAAAGCUCGUAGUUGGAUCUGCGCCUCAGGACUUGGUCCGCCCACUGGGUGAGAACUGGGCUCCUGGGCUAGUUCUGCUGGUUUUCCCUACGUUGCCUUCAUCGGUAGCGUAGGGUGGCUAGCGAGUUUACUUUGAAAAAAUUAGAGUGCUUCACGCGGGCUUAUGUCUGAAUACUCGUGCAUGGAAUAAUAGAAUAGGAUCUCGGCUCUAUUUUGUUGGUUUUCUGAUCUGAGAUAAUGGUUAAGAGGGACGGACGGGGGCAUUCGUAUCGCUGCGUGAGAGGUGAAAUUCUUGGACCGUAGCGAGACGUCCGACUGCGAAAGCAUUUGCCAAGAAUGUCUUCAUUAAUCAAGAACGAAAGUCACGGUCAGGAAAAAAACCCCCCCACACCAACACACACAAAAAAGCAAGGGGG
rnacentral:rRNA from 1 species